rnacentral:rRNA from 1 species
AGUGAACGCUGGCGGUAGGCCUAACACAUGCAAGUCGAACGGCAGCACAGUAAGAGCUUGCUCUUACGGGUGGCGAGUAGCGGACGGGUGAGGAAUACAUCGGAAUCUACUUUUUCGUGGGGGAUAACGUAGGGAAACUUACGCUAAUACCGCAUACGACCUACGGGUGAAAGCAGGGGAUCUUCGGACCUUGCGCGAUUGAAUGAGCCGAUGUCGGAUUAGCUAGUUGGCGGGGUAAAGGCCCACCAAGGCGACGAUCCGUAGCUGGUCUGAGAGGAGGAUCAGCCACACUGGAACUGAGACACGGUCCAGACUCCUACGGGAGGCAGCAGUGGGGAAUAUUGGACAAUGGGCGCAAGCCUGAUCCAGCCAUACCGCGUGGGUGAAGAAGGCCUUCGGGUUGUAAAGCCCUUUUGUUGGGAAAGAAAAGCAGCAGGUUAAUACCCCGCUGUUCUGACGGUACCCAAAGAAUAAGCACCGGCUAACUUCGUG